UUCCUCCAGCAGUUGGAUCGCUCCCAUCUCACAGUACCUCACAGGUCUCUUCCCCCGAGCAGUGCACUGCUGGAGCGAGGAGCAGCUCACGAAUCAGCUGCAGGUCCCUGUUUUGAAAAGCAAAGAUACAGAGGCAGAGGAAAAGGGUGGAUUCCUCUGUGACCUGUUCUUAGAGCAAGACAAUCACCAUCUGAAUUCCAGAAGCUCUGUUCAUGUGUGGGGAUAUUUUUUCGACUGCAUGGAAUCAGAAAGAAGCAAAAGGAUGGGAAAUGCCUGCAUCCCCCUGAAAAGAAUUGCUUAUUUCUUAUGUCUCUUAUCUGCGCUUUUACUGACUGAGGGGAAGAAGCCAGCGAAGCCAAAAUGCCCUGCUGUGUGUACUUGUACCAAAGAUAAUGCUUUAUGUGAGAAUGCCAGAUCCAUUCCACGCACCGUUCCUCCUGAUGUUAUCUCAUUAUCCUUUGUGAGAUCUGGUUUUACUGAAAUCUCAGAAGGGAGUUUUUUAUUCACACCAUCGCUGCAGCUCUUGUGAGAAAUAUUUAUAUCAUGACUAUUUUUAAUAUGGCAUAUAUUUGGAUAAGCCUUCUAAAAUGAGCUCAAUAUUAAUUUUGUCAAAUGUGAUGAUAUUUCUGAAAAGAAAGAAUAUCAGUCAAGUGAGAGGUAGAUGGGUGUGCUUGCAACUUCACAUCUAUAGUGCAGGGUUGAUCCUUGCAAUGGCAAAUUUGCUAACCUGUAAUGCUGUGUACUUAAAUGGCUAUUUAUGAAGUUGUUGGACCAUUGCAAUAGGAUCCCAAUUCCAUUCCACUAUUUUACUUUCAUUUUUAACUUGAGAACUUUGGUUAUUUUGCCCUGGAGUUUUUGCAUUUGUCAAUACAGAACCCAGCAUAACAUAUGCGCUCAAGAUGUUGUCUCCUGGGAAUCUGGGGCAGCUACUCUGUAUGAUUUAGCAUGUGGGGGAAAGAAAAACCUCAGUUCUUUCUAGGUAAUUCCUUAAAAUACCAAUUCUCCAGAAACCGCUUUCUAAUCUCAUCUAAUUUAUAACUUAUUCCCUUACAGAGAGGAAAAGAAAAUAUUAAUAUAGGGUAGGGCAAAGAAUGACUCUUUGCUCUAUGUUUGGAAUUGGCCACAAGGGAAGCACGCAUUUAGUGUAUGCCUGAAAAUAUUUUAAAAAAUAAUAUUUGCUAAGGAAUCAGCUCUCUUCAUAGGCGUGAUGUAACAUACAUAAUUUUUUCUGAUGUGUAAUGUUUAGCAAUUGGAGUUCUAGUUCUUAGAGAAAUAGCAUACGGGGGUCAAGAGGUCUGAAGUAUCAGGCAACAGACUUGGGUUGGUAACUAGAAAGGUCCAAGGGAGAAUUAGUCAACUGUAAAUGCACUGAGUUUGCAGUCUUAACUCUAUAAUUAAGUUUUCUGCUUAUUUGUGUUUUGGGUUUUUUUGUUUGUUUUCUUGCUUCAUUUGGCUAUUUUGUCUGUUUAAAAUUAUGCAUACAUAGGCAAGCAGCAUGGGAUUAAAAUUGGAGAGCCCUGUAUGGAAUUGAAAGAUCACCCCAUCACUCACUAGACCAUAGAUAUGUAGUCUUGUGCAAAUUACUGAAUGUCAUCAAGCCUCAGUCUUCUUAUCUGUAAAAUGGAGGUGAUAGCACAUACUUUGAAGGGUUGUUAUCAGAGAUAAAUAAGAUUUCAUAGUUAAAAGUCUUGGUUGAUGCUUAAUUUUUAUAUAAAAGUAAAAAUCUAAGUCAUUUAAUCUAUUGUUUGGUCUAUAUGAAAUUCCAAAACUGGUUUGACUAUUUCAUUGAAUUUCUGAACUUAAUCAGGUGUUUUGACAUUAUAUAAUGAUGCUGGCUGAUGUCCUUCCCCUGGCUAAUGUCUUUGAGUGAUUAGCAAUUAAGUACGUUAUUCCUAAGGGGUUUAUUUGUUUGAUUGAUGGCCAGCAGGGUGAUUAGGAAAAUCUUAAAAUAUUAAACAAAUCUAAAAAAGAUACUCUUUAGUACAGAAAAGGGCAAAGUCUUUGACAUUGGGAUCCUUCCAUAGGAUAAGAAUUUGUUGUACCAGAGAAAGUGAUCAAGUAUCCUUAUAUUGCUCAUUGGUUAAAUAAAUAAAUGGCUCAUGUAAAAUACAUCCUUUCGAUGUGCUUAGGCACCUCCCUUCCCCUGGGAUAGUUAAAUAGAUCAGUCCUUAAAAUUUGAGAAGUCUCAGUCACACAACUGCUCAUAUUCUGACACUAGGUGGAUGUCAGCUGUGACACAGAAAGCCUGGAUGGAUCAGCCUAAUCAGCUAUCUCAUCUCCACCUUGUUUUUGUUGGCUAGACCUAGCUACGACAAGCACAGAUGCCAGGCAGUGUUAUAGAAAUAGUUACCGGCUGCUGCGCGGUAAUGUGAUUACAUGUAUUUAGAAUCACAGAGGGAAGCCAAAGGACUGGUUUUAAAUAGCCCUCGCCAAGUAUGUGCCAUGCCCCUCUGUCCCAUGCUCCAAGUUCCUAUGGAACAUUCCAGCCCUUAUUUCUAAAAGCAGUUCAAGUUUCAGAACCAACAAAAGGGCGAAGUAAUCUUGCCCCAAACGUCCUUGGUUAACUCACUCUGGCCAACUUCACCAUAGUAGAUUUUUGCCAUGUUGGUCUUAGGCAAAUCUGUCAGGGGUCAAAGUUUAUCUCUAAUCACCAGGACCCUGUCCUUAAGGAUUUCAUUCUUCAUCUGUCAUGCUCAAUAUUCUCAGCUUCCUCCUGUCCUCAAGAAAAGGUCAAAUAAGAUCAUUUUCACUCAGUUGGAAAAAAUAAUAAGGCUCUGAAUAUGACCUAUUCCAUGAUAAUGACAAUUGUGGGAAUGCAUGGAUCACGACAGAAAGGGUUUUCUGAGGGACAGGACUGUCCGGUGCCCUGAAAAUCCCAUGUGGGCUGCCAAUCUGCCAUUGGAACAUGAAGGCCUAGAUCCCAAGCCAUGGCUUAGGGUUGGCAAUUAAUUCUAAUGUCAUGUGUGACCAUGGAUCACCAAACAGGCCCAUCCUAUCCUGUGCAGUCGUAAAUUUCAGAAUCAAUUCUGCUUGAUCCAUGUUGAAGGCAGCUGGUUUCUUACUCUGUUGUUGGAAAGGAAAAAGAAAUAUCCCAUUUCUGUUGACCUACAACAAUCUGAUAAUGUUAUUAUGGCCCCAAACACUUCUUCAGAGUUUCUGUAGAAGGGAUAAUAAGAAGUACUUUUUGAAAUGUCAACCUGAGAUACUGAGGAAAAUGGAGACAAUACCUUGAGUCACAUGCAGUGUUUAGGAAAAGAUUCUGGUAGGCCAUGGCUGGCAGUUUGUGUUGGAAAAUUAGAAAAAUAAAACUCACACUCUGUAGAGAAGAAAGACUAAAAUGAUCCAAUAAAAAUUCAUCAGAUUAGUUGUACAAAACAUUUUAAAAACUCAUUUAUAGUUUUAAAUACCACCAAAAAAAAAAAAAAACCCUUUUCCCAAGCAAAUGCAAUUUUAUUCAUGUUUUCCACAGGGCCAGUUUUGAAACAUAACCGAGGAGAAUGGUUAUGCAUUCCAGUUUGUGCUUAGUGAUAGAGAGUGAGUGGUACUUUUAGUGAAUGCAAUUUAGAGAAAUGUGUUUUCACACAUACAGCCCUGUUCCUUCUCAACUCCAGACUGAAAUCCUCAGUGAUAGAGCUCAUGACAGAAGCAAGAUUCAAAUUUUAGAGGAUAAAAUGUGGCCACAUUGCCAUUCGUUUAUAGCAUUUUAAUAAACAAAGCCUCCUGAAACUCCUAGGAUAGUUCUAUAUGCAGGGAGUAAAUUCUAUAUGCAGGGUUAGUUUUAGUAUUAUACUCAAA